UGGGGAAUUUUGGACAAUGGGCGAAAGCCUGAUCCAGCAAUGCCGCGUGUGUGAAGAAGGCCUUCGGGUUGUAAAGCACUUUUGUCCGGAAAGAAAUCCGUCUGGCUAAUACCCGGACGGGAUGACGGUACCGGAAGAAUAAGCACCGGCUAACUACGUGCCAGCAGCCGCGGUAAU
rnacentral:rRNA from 1 species